CAGCAUCACCUCCACGUCCUGUGUCCCCUGCCCAAGUUAUUCCCGGCCCUGUGCUUCUGCCUGGAGCUGGGCAGGGGUCCGGGUUCGCUCCCUGGCUGCGGAGGAGGCAGCACAGACUCCGCUGCAGGAUCCUUGUGCCCGACAUGGCGGGGAAGAUUUUGGCACCAGUUCUGGCAGGCAGAGACCUGAGGCAGCGCUGCUGUCUGCAGCCCCCAGCAUGCCAAGGGAUAAGGGUCCAGUAGCAGGACAGAGGAUCACAGGCUGCAUCCCCAGGAGGACGCCCUUGUCCCCGUGCCAUGGGGAUGUGCCAGUUUGGGGGCACUGGGGGACCACGUCCUCCCCAGGGCUGGAGCACUGGGUGUCGGGCAGUGGGAACCAACUCGCGGACGCUGGGGAGCCUGGAGAUUUGCUGGGCAGCGCUGGGCUGGAGCCCCAGCUUUGCUGCUGCCACUGUGAGCGAGUCCCUGCUUGGCUCCGUGCCUCAGUUUCCCCUCUCUUAGAGAGACUUCAGCCCUCAGUAAAGGCAAUUUUCAUUCA